rnacentral:pre_miRNA from 1 species
AAUUAAAAGAUUAUUUAUUUGUACGGUUAAAACGAAUAACCGGGCAGUGACACGUGGUGUGCCAUGUGUAUCUCACGCUGACUUACAAGAACCAAUUUUUAACAGCAAAAAUGAAUGAUUUUUUAACA